AAAAAAUUUCCCAUCAGUCCAUGGUUUGAGUUCAGAGAAAACUUCAUUAUCUGAUUUGUAUUACUUGUGCUAGAAUUUAUGUUAAGAUUAAAAGGCUCUCGUUUUAUUUAUAUAUAAGAUCUUAUAAGCUUGUACACACACCACAUGUACAUACGUACAUGAUACAUGAUACAUGGUAACUACUGAUAGGUGAGUAGUGACUACAGAUAAUGGAAGGAAAUGAAAGGGCUCAACAACAGAAUAAUCAAGCUCCAAGCUCAAUGGGGGCCAUGGCCAUGAUGAGGAUGAGGCUGAUGUGGACCAGGUGGAGGUGACGCCCCUACUGCUGGAGGACCACCAGGAGGAGGAGGAGAUGGUUGUGCAUGUGGCGGUGGAGCAGGCCCAGGAUGUGGAGGUCCCGGCGGCCCUGGAGGGUGGUGGUGAGGGCCUGGGCCUCCUGGUCCUGACGGAGGAGGAUUGUGCAUUAUGCCUGCUUAGUAGUGCUUAAUCACUCCUUAAUUUACUUCUCAACUAUGUAUAUACACAAAUGUAUACAUGUAUAUAUAGGGGACAAAAGACCUAUGUAGAUCUAUAUGUUCAUCUACUAGUCAAUUGCUGUGUUACUUUUCG
rnacentral:lncRNA from 1 species